rnacentral:rRNA from 1 species
GACGAACUGUCCAAACGUUGUUCGGAAUCACUGGGCUUAAAGGGCGCGUAGGCGGUCGAUCAAGUCAGGGGUGAAAUCCUGCAGCUUAACUGUAGAAGUGCCUUUGAUACUGGUCGUCUCGAGGGAGGUAGGGGUGUGUGGAACUUCCAGUGGAGCGGUGAAAUGCGUUGAUAUCUACAGGAACUCCGGUGGCGAAAGCGGCGUGCUGGACCUUUUCUGACGCUGAGGCGCGAAAGCUAGGGGAGCAAACGGG